rnacentral:lncRNA from 1 species
CCCGGUUUUGAGCAUUGCUAGCAUUGUUAUGGCCUGCAUUGAGCGCUUUACUGUGAGCGUGACCGCGCCACAUGAGAUACACUGAUGGACGACAAGCCGGG